UUCUGUCAAUGCUUUUGCAGUACAUUUAUAAAUUCUAUAGCUAUAUCAUGGCAUCAUGCUAAGAAUGAAUAAGGUGUCAAAUGUUUAAAUUUCAUAUUUACUGUUAAAAUUUACAGAUUUUCUUAUAUCCAAACAUAUUAACCAAAGGUCAAAAUUUGGUUUAUGCAAUUAUGGGCAUGUCGAGGAUGCAAGAACAACUUUGCUCUCAUUCCAUCCCUGGGAAACUUUCAAAUGUCUUUAAAGAAAAGGAUGCAAAACCCCAACUCGACCCAGAGAAAGUUAAGAGUAUAUGUGAGCAUCAUUUCGAUGCACAUGUUUAAGAUGCCCAAACAUUGAUUCAAAGAAGCCAUCAAUGCUGGCUGCUCUGGAAAAGAAGAAGAACAAAGAUGUCCAACAAAUUAUUGGUCUAUUAGAGGAUUGUCACCCGAACUAGAAAAAGGAUGACAGUGGUGUUGAAAUUUAGACCAUUGUAAAAAAAAGAACAUUCCCGAAGUUGCUAUUAACUGGAUCUCUUGGUGACAUCCAUUCACUAGACCUUUUGGCUGAAGGCAUGGUAGCAAUAAAGUUUAAGCAGUUUUCCAUCUUAAAUGCUGUUGUGUGUUUGCUGACUGCAUUGUAUGUAUCCAACGCAGAGAACCCUAAAGAUGGAGGUGGGUAGACAAAGAAUGUGUUCCUUCUUCUGGACCAGAUAUUACUACAAACAGACGGAAAAACGAACAUUCCAAUUGGAGUUAAAAACUUUUUACCGCAGCUUUGAGAACCUGGAAAUGACUUAAGUAUAGAUAGAUGAAUCCUAGUAAGAUAAGUGUUUGAAUGUAGUAAUUUGUAUAUAUGUAUGCAAAUAACCAUUAGGAUAA